rnacentral:rRNA from 1 species
UACGGGGGGGGCAAGCGUUGUUCGGAAUUACUGGGCGUAAAGGGCUCGUAGGCGGCCAACUAAGUCAGACGUGAAAUCCCUCGGCUUAACCGGGGAACUGCGUCUGAUACUGGAUGGCUUGAGAUUGGGAGAGGGAUGCGGAAUUCCAGGUGUAGCGGUGAAAUGCGUAGAUAUCGGGAAGAACACCCGUGGCGAAGGCGGUUCUCUGGGACGGUACUGACGCUGAGACGCGAAAGCGUGGGGAGCGAACAGG